AAUCAACGCUGGCGGCGUGCCUCAGACAUGCAAGUCGAACGCGAAAGUCCCCUUCGGGGGAUGAUUAGAGUGGCGCACGGGUGAGUAACACGUAGGUAAUCUACCUUCGAGUGGGGAAUAACUCAGGGAAACUUGAGCUAAUACCGCAUAAUGCAGCGGCACCACAUGGUGACAGUUGUUAAAGCAUUUAUGCGCUUGAAGAGGAGCCUGCGGCGGAUAGCUAGUUGGUAAGGUAAUGGCUUACCAAGGCUACGAUCUGUAACCGGCCUGAGAGGGCGGACGGUCACACUGACACUGAAUAACGGGUCAGACUCCUACGGGAGGCAGCAGUCGGGAAUUUUGGGCAAUGGGCGAAAGCCUGACCCAGCAACGCCGCGUGAAGGAUG
rnacentral:rRNA from 1 species